GUCCGUUUGGGGACAUAUGCUAAAAUUUGAACGAUACAUAGAAGAUUAACAUGGUCCUUGCGCAAGGAUGACACACGUGAAUUGAGAAAUGCUCCAUUUUUUU